rnacentral:rRNA from 1 species
CUUACGGGUGAGUAACGCGUGGGAAUCUACCCUUUUCUACGGAAUAACGCAGGGAAACUUGUGCUAAUACCGUAUGUGUCCUUCGGGAGAAAGAUUUAUCGGGAAAGGAUGAGCCCGCGUUGGAUUAGCUAGUUGGUGGGGUAAAGGCCUACCAAGGCGACGAUCCAUAGCUGGUCUGAGAGGAUGAUCAGCCACAUUGGGACUGAGACACGGCCCAAACUCCUACGGGAGGCAGCAGUGGGGAAUAUUGGACAAUGGGCGCAAGCCUGAUCCAGCCAUGCCGCGUGAGUGAUGAAGGCCCUAGGGUUGUAAAGCUCUUUCACCGGAGAAGAUAAUGACGGUAUCCGGAGAAGAANCCCC